UUCAGAGGGGGACAACAGUUGGAAACGACUGCUAAUACCGCAUACGAUCUAAUCUCGGCAUCGAGGAUGGAUGAAAGGUGGCCUCUAUUUAUAAGCUAUCACUGAAGGAGGGGAUUGCGUCUGAUUAGCUAGUUGGAGGGGUAACGGCCCACCAAGGCAAUGAUCAGUAGCCGGUCUGAGAGGAUGAACGGCCACAUUGGGACUGAGACACGGCCCAG
rnacentral:rRNA from 1 species